rnacentral:tRNA from 1 species
GGGGUUGUGGCUCAGUGGUAGAGUGCUCACCUAGCAUGUGCAAGGCACUGGGUUCGAUCCUCAACACCA